AUACUCUGGUUUCUCUUCAGAUCGUAUAAAUCUUUCGCCUUUUACUAAAGAUUUCUGUGGAGAGGAACAAGCACGAGUGUCGUGAAAUUUUUUGAGGCUCCGCUUCGGCGGAGCU
rnacentral:snRNA from 1 species